rnacentral:rRNA from 1 species
CGGAACGGGGUAGGAGGUAAACGCGUGAGGGAAACCGUAGCCUCCAAAGAAGGGGGGACAACAGUUGGAAACGACUGCUAAUACCGCAUAAGCCCACGGCUCGGCAUCGAGCAGAGGGAAAAGGAGCAAUCCGCUUUGAGAUGGCCUCGCGUCCGAUUAGCUAGUUGGUGAGGUAACGGCCCACCAAGGCGACGAUCGGUAGCCGGACUGGGAGGUUGAACGGCCACAUUGGGACUGAGAUACGGCCCAG